UCCCUAACAGGGCUGUGGGGGCGCAUAUGGGCGUUGCAGGGCCUCUCCCCCCAUCCGAUCUAAAGGGAACCGGGCCUUCGAUUUUGUCGAGACGAGGUUUCCUUCUCGCUUCUGAUACAAUUUGUUUGGAUUGUCCUAUAGAUGUAGGAUAGUGCCAAAGACAUGCAGAUAUACAACUUUUAAUUAAAAUGAAGUUAUUGGUAGUACAUCCGUAAGUUUUUCGAGCUCCAUGGUCGCAGGAGGUCGGCCCCUCCGAGCUCCUUAAGAUAAUAAGUUCC
rnacentral:lncRNA from 1 species